GAUGAGAACGUAGCGAAAUGCGAUAAGUAAUGCGAAUUGCAGAAUUCCGUGAGUCAUCGAAUCUUUGAACGCACAUUGCGCCCUCUGGUAUUCCGGAGGGCAUGCCUGUCUGAGCGUCAUUGUCAACCCUCAAGCUCAGCUUGCUGUUGGGUCCCCGUCGUUGCUUUAACGGCGGACCCGAAAGGUAAUGGCAGAGUCCGUGAGACCCUAGACGCAGCGAGCUUCUAGCACGCGUCUGGACGUUUUUCGGGCUCGGUCUUAAACUAGAUGAUAACUUCCGAUUGACCUCAGAUCAGGUAGGGAUACCCGCUGAACUUAAGCAUAUCAAUAAGCGGAGGA
rnacentral:misc_RNA from 1 species